rnacentral:rRNA from 1 species
GACGAACGCUGGCGGCGUGCUUAACACAUGCAAGUCGAACGGAAAGGCCCUGCUUGCCGGGUACUCGAGUGGCGAACGGGUGAGUAACACGUGGGUGAUCUGCCCUGCACUUCGGGAUAAGCCUGGGAAACUGGGUCUAAUACCGGAUAGGAGCCAUUUUUAGUGUGAUGGUUGGAAAGUUUUUUCGGUGUAGGAUGAGCUCGCGGCCUAUCAGCUUGUUGGUGGGGUAAUGGCCUACCAAGGCGGCGACGGGUAGCCGGCCUGAGAGGGUGGACGGCCACAUUGGGACUGAGAUACGGCCCAGACUCCUACGGGAGGCAGCAGUGGGGAAUAUUGCACAAUGGGCGCAAGCCUGAUGCAGCGACGCCGCGUGGAGGAUGACGGCCUUCGGGUUGUAAACUCCUUUCGCUAGGGACGAAGCUUUUUGUGACGGUACCUAGAUAAGAAGCACCGGCUAACUACGUG